rnacentral:rRNA from 1 species
UACGGAGGGUGCAAACGUUGCUCGGAAUCAUUGGGCGUAAAGCGCACGUAGGCGGCCUGUUAAGUCGGACGUGAAAUCCCUCGGCUCAACCGGGGAACUGCGUCCGAUACUGGCGGGCUUGAAUUCGGGAGAGGGAUGUGGAAUUCCAGGUGUAGCGGUGAAAUGCGUAGAUAUCUGGAGGAACACCGGUGGCGAAGGCGGCAUCCUGGACCGACAUUGACGCUGAGGCGCGAAAGCCAGGGGAGCAAACGGG